UACAGAGGUUGCAAGCGUUAAUCGGAAUUACUGGGCGUAAAGCGCGCGUAGGUGGCAAGUUAAGUCGGAUGUGAAAUCUCGGGGCUCAACCUCGAAACUGCAUUCGAUACUGCCUUGCUAGAGUACUGGAGAGGAGAUCGGAAUUUACGGUGUAGCAGUGAAAUGCGUAGAUAUCGUAAGGAAGACCAGUGGCGAAGGCGGAUCUCUGGACAGUUACUGACACUGAGGCACGAAGGCCAGGGGAGCAAACGGG
rnacentral:rRNA from 1 species